ensembl:ncRNA F07G11.10 ncRNA
UCCACAACACGAGAAGCCUGGAUCAUCUGGGUCACAGACAGGGUAAAAUCCAUUUAUCAAUGGAGCAGACUUUCCACA